AGAGUUUGAUCAUGGGUCAGAUUGAACGCUGGCGGCAGGCCUAACACAUGCAAGUCGAGCGGUAGAGAGAAGCUUGCUUCUCUUGAGAGCGGCGGACGGGUGAGUAAUACCUAGGAAUCUGCCUGAUAGUGGGGGAUAACGUUCGGAAACGGACGCUAAUACCGCAUACGUCCUACGGGAGAAAGCAGGGGACCUUCGGGCCUUGCGCUAUCAGAUGAGCCUAGGUCGGAUUAGCUAGUUGGUGAGGUAAUGGCUCACCAAGGCUACGAUCCGUAACUGGUCUGAGAGGAUGAUCAGUCACACUGGAACUGAGACACGGUCCAGACUCCUACGGGAGGCAGCAGUGGGGAAUAUUGGACAAUGGGCGAAAGCCUGAUCCAGCCAUGCCGCGUGUGUGAAGAAGGUCUUCGGAUUGUAAAGCACUUUAAGUUGGGAGGAAGGGCAGUUACCUAAUACGUGAUUGUCUUGACGUUACCGACAGAAUAAGCACCGGCUAACUCUGUGCCAGCAGCCGCGGUAAUACAGAGGGUGCAAGCGUUAAUCGGAAUUACUGGGCGUAAAGCGCGCGUAGGUGGUUUGUUAAGUUGAAUGUGAAAUCCCCGGGCUCAACCUGGGAACUGCAUCCAAAACUGGCAAGCUAGAGUAUGGUAGAGGGUAGUGGAAUUUCCUGUGUAGCGGUGAAAUGCGUAGAUAUAGGAAGGAACACCAGUGGCGAAGGCGACUACCUGGACUGAUACUGACACUGAGGUGCGAAAGCGUGGGGAGCAAACAGGAUUAGAUACCCUGGUAGUCC
rnacentral:rRNA from 1 species